rnacentral:rRNA from 1 species
UACAGAGGGCUCAAGCGUUGUUCGGAUUCAUUGGGCGUAAAGGGUGUGUAGGUGGCGCGCUAAGUCGGGCGUGAAAUUUCGGAGCUUAACUCCGAAACUGCAUUCGAUACUGGCGUGCUUGAGGACUGGAGAGGAGACUGGAAUUCAUGGUGUAGCAGUGAAAUGCGUAGAGAUCAUGAGGAAGACCAGUGGCGAAGGCGGGUCUCUGGACAGUUCCUGACGCUGAGGCGCGAAGGCCAGGGGAGCAAACGGG